UAAAACGAAUGGACUCCUCCUGACUGCC
rnacentral:piRNA from 1 species